rnacentral:misc_RNA from 1 species
AGUCAAAAAAGAUAUGUAAAGCUAAAAAUAGUGAUGAACAUAUGAAAUUUUCAAUUGACUUCAUGCUUUCCCCAAAACCGUAUAUUUAAGUUAAUUUGUUUCUUAUAUUGCAUUCUACAUCAUGAAGUACAUUUGUAAUAAAACUAGCAAAAGAAGACAAAAGAGUGUACCUAUUACAACAAAAGGCAAAUGGAAUGCACACACACAAAGAACUAAUGAAUGGACUUGCAUGGUCCAAAAAUGUUUUAAAAAUGAAAAAUACCAGCAACAUAUCUCUAGAAGUUAUCAGAGAACUAAUAGUGCUGUUUUAACUAUGAACAAGCAUAAAACCACAACUUUCAUAAAAUAAUAUAUGGCUUGAUUGUUUUGCAUUUAGUGGCUGUGAUACACACUAAGUGCUGUUACAUUAUAUUUUGUCUCUUGAUAUUUUGUUCUAUUCAACAGAUGUCUUCUGCUGUAAUAUUUAUGACUUGUCAGUGUAAAUUUAUCUUGUGGAGGAGCUUAGUUUAAGCCAGAAAGAUGAAGACAAACUUCCUUAAUUUACAGAAGUAAGUAUUGAUUAUGCACUGGAUGUAUUUUUGUUUAUAAGGCUAAUGAGAAGCAGAACAAAGUGUUCCCUUUUCAGUUUUUUUUUUU